UUGGAUGGUGCAAUUGUAACUGCGCCACCCAACUAACACUUUCUCUUCUUGCACAAUCACAUCCUGGUGAUGGUGCUACUGUAUUUGUAUUUGCGCCUCAAGUAUACAGUGAUGUUGCAAUCACAUCUGUGUAUUAAAGCCCACGCUCUGUCUCUUCCAACCAGAGUUGCCCGGCAGUGUAUUCCCCAGCAUCGGUAAAUAUACGUAUCCUUCUCAAGAUAUAUGUUCAGUGUUUGUGUUGUUCUUUGGUAAUCUAAGUGUUAAUGUUAGUUAAGUGUUAGAGCAAAUUAAGUGUUAGUGCUUGAAUCUUGUGAUAAGUUCAUCAUCACAUACCAAAGACUUAUACUGUGGCUUUUUGGAUUCAAUUUGCCAAAGAAGCAAAACGGUGUUUUCCAAGAAGCCAGAGACUGGGGACCAAGAAGCCACACCUCAUACGUCAUGAUGCUUCUUGGCCAGUAUGGUAGUGUGGCUUCUUGGUGCUGGCUUCUAGUGAAAGUGGCUUCUUGACUUGACGACGAAAACGUGGGAGAUUGUCACUGAUGAUGGAGAAUCUUUUGACGAAAAGGCAGCUGUCUGGCAUAUAAAUGACAAAGCAAUGUGAAAAAAAGUAAAUUUUGGUGGACAGUGAUUUCAAGGACCGCCCACCAAACAUGGUGGGGACCCGAUUUAAUCUAAGAGGAGCCUAUCUCAACUUUGAAGAGAUAUUACGUGUUGAAAUUCAAAUUUUAAGAGUAGAAAAAUACUUUUGAGAAUCAGCGUGAAAAACUGAUUAGAAUUAUAUUUAUUUUUACCUGAUCCCUUAUUCAUGCACAAACCCUAAUGAAUAAUUUCGUCUAUAAUAGGAUGUCAAGAUAUACUCUGUAAUCUCGAUUCACGUUUCUAUUUCAUUUAACUAAAGCAUAAAACUCUCACUGAACCCUUUGUUCCAGCCAUUUGUUCUUAUAGGAACACUGAGUUAUGCCGAGACUUGAUUCUAUUUUAUUUUAUUUGCUACAAACCAAAAUAAAAUGCACUAUGUAUUUUUUACGGGGAUACAUCAAUCAAGGUAG